rnacentral:rRNA from 1 species
GACGAACGCUAGCGGCGUGCUUAACACAUGCAAGUCGAACGAUGAAGUUCCUUCGGGAAUGGAUUAGUGGCGAACGGGUGAGGAACACGUGAGAAACCUGCCUUUCAUUUUGGGAUAACUCCGGGAAACCGGGGCUAACACCGAAUACUCCGUCUCGGCGGCAUCGCUGAGCCGGGAAAAAAUUUUGAUGAAAGAUGGUCUCGCGGCCUAUCAGCUAGUUGGUGAGGUAAUGGCUCAUCAAGGCAACGACGGGUAGCCGGCCUGAGAGGGCGACCGGCCACACAGGGACUGAGACACGGCCCAGACUCCUACGGGAGUCAGGAGUAGGGAAUAUUGGGCAAUGGGCGCAAGCCUGACCCAGCGACGCCGCGUGAGGGAUGAAGGCCUUCGGGUUGUAAACCUCUUUCAGUAGGGAAGAAGCGAAAGUGACGGUACCUAAAGAAGAAGCACCGGCUAACUAUGUGCCAGCCGCCGCAGUAA